CGAGGUGUAGCGCAGUUUGGUAGCGCACAUGGUUCGGGACCAUGGGGCCGUGGGUUCAAAUCCCGCCACCUCGACCA
rnacentral:tRNA from 1 species